rnacentral:misc_RNA from 1 species
UUUCCGUAGGUGAACCUGCGGAAGGAUCAUUCAUAAUAAGUGUUUUAUGGUACUUUUUUAAAUCCAUAUCCACCUUGUGUGCAAUGUCAGGGUUGAUUUUUCUUUCGAGAGGAUCAGCCCCAAACAUCAACUAUAUCUCAACUCUUUGUCUGAAAAAUAUUAUGAAUAAAACAAUUCAAAAUACAACUUUCAACAACGGAUCUCUUGGCUCUC